GCUCGUGUGGCGCAGCUGGUUAGCGCGUGUGACUUAUGAUCACGAGGUCGAGGGUUCGAGCCCCUCCUCGAGCA
rfam:Giardia intestinalis strain GS GS_B_0243, whole genome shotgun sequence.